CCAUUUUCAUCCGCUUGUCCGUUACCGGGUCGCGGGGCAGCAGUCGCCACCCAAAUCACCGAACCAACCCCCGAACCUUCCUGCGGGUGACGAGUCCACUGGAAUGUUCCUCGUCCUGUGCAGAAAAGAGAAACGUAAAAAAAUCAACAAGGACGACAAAGUAAAUUGCUCCAUUUCAUUUGUCUGCAUUUGAUGUCCGAGGAGAAAUCGAUGGGAAAAGUGUUCCGUGGACUGGUCUACAACCGAACAUACAAUUCUCAUAUGGGGUCUGCUGCUACUGAGGAGACUUAAUGCAAUUUCACUUCUGAGCCAUUGAGUGUUUUGUUCAAGGACACUGCGUCCGUCUCGGCGCCCAGGAAGGACAAGCCAAAUCAAGACAAAUGGUAAGGUCAUCAUUAAAUCUAUCUACUGUCUAUGGCCCAGUCUGUAAUGUUGGCCCCACAGAAUAUUGUGUCUACAUAUUAGAUAUCGAGUCCUUGUUUAACAGGCCUCUCCGAAUCAGGUUGUCCAUUUCGAUAUAUGUCAGUUAUGAUGUAAUCAUUUUUUAGUGAAUCCAGCAGAGAUUGUCAUUUACCCAGUGUCCAAACUGCUCAUAUUUCAUCCCCACCUGAAAGAGGCUGCCAUUGAGUAUAAUCACACACACACACACACACCUUCUAGAUCAGGCCAAGAGAAAACAGAGUGUGCACUUUGUGCACAGCUAUUUAUAUCAAUAAGUCCCGUGCUGAGAGGCACAAAAUGAGCGUUUAAGCUGCAGGGCCCAGAGAGCUCAGUAGCAGGUGGGCAAGCUGCUCGGAGGUGCCUGGGCGGAGGGGGUAUUCACUCUUUUACAGGUGUUGCCCAUCUCUGUGUGCAUCCUGGGCUGUGGGAAGGUUUGGGUUUGGGGAGGGAGCGGGACAGCUGGAGCAGCAGGCAUCGGGCAGGCGGAGAAAAGAGCCUUCUCUUACUGUCGGGGCCUUCGCAGGUCAGUGCCUCCACCCAAAGGGACGGCGGAGCGAAACGCCAUCAAUUCACAAACAAAGGAGCCACUUCAGCCGCCACAAAGGAAACAUAUGUGAUGGAGCUGACUGCCGAGCCGCAGCUCACUUUAACAUGUCAUCCUCUCCUAAUUAGCUUUGUUAAGUCCCUCUGCUGUCUGCCCAACUGAGGCCGCUCCCACUCACGUGGGGGCUUUGUGUUUACGAGGGCAAAUGCUUGGACUCGCUCCCAAAAAAAAACCCAGGGAACUCGUCCUUUAUGUUGCAGUCAUUUGUUUAAUCCUUCCUAAAUGAGAAUCAUCUCCACAUGAAGACAAGCUUCUUAACAAUUGCCCUGUUAUAGAUGGAUCUCAGUGACAAACUAUUGAUAUAUUGAUUACUGUAGAGCAAAGAGCCAAAUCCUUACAAUCCUCUCCUAAUGAGUGGGCGGAGAGACGGGGCUUUCAUAUAGAACAAAGAUGUACGGAAGGCUAACGUUCAUACAAAAUGUAAACAAAAUUUCUGUAAAUAUAACUAAAAGUUAGUCAUGAGCCACUUUACAUCGUAGCUGAGAAAUAUGUGACGAGAGAGAGAGAGAGAGAGAGAGAGAGGCAGAAAUUUGUUAAAACAUGAGUAAAAAUCACUCCUGGCUAGAAAUGUACAAAACUAGCCUAUGGUUAGCCAACUGUUAGCCAAACAUUUAAAUAGAAUCUAGAAAAUAAAUUAUAGUAUUCAUACAGUAGCAAAUAAGCAGUUUGGAAUUAUUUUUAGAAAUUUGUUAAAAUAAUCGUAAUCUGACAACUAAAAGAGAGUCAGUUUUAUUAGUUAUUUUUCAUGUUAUGGUGUUUAAAAAGAGAUCAAUAAGUGAGCCUGAAUGCAGAAAAUCAGAUCAGCAGUCAAACAGGAAAACCAAGCCAAAUCAUUGAACCCAUUUAAAAAAAAAGGAAAGUACACAUACUGUAGGUUUUCCAAGAAUAGCCAAAAACUAGAUUAGGCAAACAUAUAAAAGCUGGUGUGGAAAAUGCACAAAAUAAUUUUAAUCAAAACAGAACAACAAAAGUCAAAAGGCUAUUAUUUGGCCCAAAAAAAAAAAAAAAAAAAUCUCAAAAUGAUCACAAUCAAAAACCCUACAAAACAGGCAUUUAACAUUUGCUAUCAAAGUUAUCCACACAGUUUACAGCUUGAAUUUUGGCUAGACUAAAAAAAAUCAAAAUCUAAAAAAAACGUACAAUCCUCUGCUAAAACAAGAUUAGGGAAGAGAUUAUAACUAGAAAGAACUCCAGGGUUAACAGCCAGGAGAUCCAGACAGUAGUUUUCUGUUCAUCUUUGUUCUCCAGAUACACUACACUUCGUUCUUCUGGUCUGUAUAGUUUGUUUGUGUUGCUGCUCCUUUUCGGAGGCUUUACUUCAGAGCCGUGUCCUUUGUACUGCAUGUUGGUGUGUGUUGGAGCCCAGUUGUUUUGGAUGAGAACAGCCGCCGCUCAAUCUUUUUAGGGGAUGUUUUGGAGUCAUUACUGGGCAGCUCUCAGACUGUGGUCUGCCAUGCGUUACAUGUUGCAGUCCACAUUGAGCCUCAUGUGACCCCUGCUGCUUACCCACUGGCAGUGCA